CGCGCACGCGCGCAGUUGUGUACCUUCGCCUCCCCCGGUCGUGGCUCUUCUCUGUGGAGGACCUGGGGUCAGGGCUUCAGGAGUUUCACCAGGACAACCAGACCCACCUGAUGAGACUUCUUCGAUGCACUGGGCCAGUCUGGAAAAGAAUCAGAAUGCCUUCUGUUGAGCUGAUCAAAGGAACACCAAGGAUUGCCAACAGUCACCAGAAGCCGGAUGGGACAAGGAAAGAUUCUCUCCUUGAGACUUCAGAGGGAGCAUGGCCCUGCCGACACCUUUGUUUCUGAUUUCUAUCCUCUUGAACUGUGAGAAUGGAUUUAAGCCACUUUAAGCCACUCUUAAGCCACCGCUUUAAGCCACUCGGUUUGUGGCAAUUACAGUAUUCUUAGGAAAAUAAUACACCAUGCAGCGCCUGGGGGGCUCAGUGGGUUGAGCGUCCAACUUCGGCUCAGGUCGUGAUCUUGUGGUUUGUGAGUUCGAGCCCCGCGUCGGGCUCUGGGCUGACAGCUCGGAGCCUGGAGUCGGCUUCGGAUUCUGUGUCUCCCUCUCUCUGCCCCUUCCCCACUCAUGCUCUGUCUCUCAAAAAUGAAUAAACUUUAAAAAAAAUUAAGAAAAAAUAACACACCAUUAAAAAACUGUUUUGAUCCUAUUACAAAUGACAUAUUUUAUUAUUAUUAUUUUUUGAGAGGUAGGUUUUUUUUAAGUUUAUUUAUUUAUUUUGUGAGGGUCGAGGGAGGGGCAGAGAGAGAGAGAGAGAGAACUCCCGCAUGGGGCUGGGUCUCAUGAACUGUGACAUCAUGAUCUGAACCCAAAUCAAGCGUUGGAGGCUGAACCAGCCAGGCACUCCAGAGGUAGUUGGGUUUAAUUUUUAUUUACUUAUUUUUAAAAUUGCGGUAUAAAUAACACAGUGUUCUACUAGUUUCAGGUGUACAAAAUAGUGAUUCAGCAAUUGUGUGCAUUACUCAGGUGGCCAUCACGCUUUACCCCAGUAUGGAAACCGCAGCCCUUGAUCAGCUGAGUGCCGCUAGGAACCAUCGCCAAGAGGCUGCAGGAAAGCCCAGGGCUUGGGGGAGUCUAGUCGCAGCUGGUGGUAAAGAAAUGUCUUCCAAGGGGCAAAGAAUAAUAUGGGGGAACUACUCUUGUUGAAGGAACAUAGGCUGAUGAUCCGCCACCAUCUUGGAUGCUGCUCGUCCCUGUGCCACAGACAGAACCCUGGGGUGGUCUCUUGUUGGAGGUUCAGGCUUGGAUUAGAGAUGUGCCACCUUCCUCACAGCUCAUUG